rnacentral:lncRNA from 1 species
UAAACAUUGCUUCCUCUUCUAUCUCAUCUUAUUCCGGAACCUGUGUGACCAGUGUUUUGUCCCAAAUAAUACCCCAUUGCUCAACUAGGAAGUAGCCACAGCCUCUACUGGCUCCUGGAUUCUCUCCAGAGACCAACCCACCAUCCUUGACUCAUCGACAAAGCCCAGUGAAAACACUUUGGCCAUUUGCGAGGAGUGAUAAACAGAGAUCACAUGCCGGUUGCCACGCUCAUUUGCCGUUAUCACAUGGAGUGGAGGCUGAA